GGCAAACAGGCCAUCGCCAGCAAGUAGCAACCUUAUUACCUUCUAUUUUAAACCGAACUGGUCAUUUCAAUUUGGAAAAGAUCCAAACUGAAACCUUCUCAAUAGAAGGUAAUAAGGUUGCUAAAGUUGCCAGUUUGCCAAAAAAAAAAAAAGAAUAAAUUACAAAAAUGAAGCCAGAUGCAUUUUCUAGAAACCUCUGCUGCAUUAGAUGCCACAAAGAAAGGAAAGAAAACAAAAUGCACAUAUUCAAAAUUUCUCACUCAUUUGUAUCAAAGC
rnacentral:misc_RNA from 1 species